rnacentral:rRNA from 1 species
GGGUUGUGAGGUUAAGCGACUAAGCGUACACGGUGGAUGCCCUGGCAGUCAGAGGCGAUGAAGGACGUGCUAAUCUGCGAUAAGCGUCGGUGAGGUGAUAUGAACCGUUAUAACCGGCGAUUUCCGAAUGGGGAAACCCAGUGUGUUUCGACACACUAUCAUUAACUGAAUCCAUAGGUUAAUGAGGCGAACCGGGGGAACUGAAACAUCUAAGUACCCCGAGGAAAAGAAAUCAACCGAGAUUCCCCCAGUAGCGGCGAGCGAACGGGGAGGAGCCCAGAGCCUGAAUCAGUGUGUGUGUUAGUGGAAGCGUCUGGAAAGGCGCGCGAUACAGGGUGACAGCCCCGUACACAAAAAUGCACAUACUGUGAGCUCGAUGAGUAGGGCGGGACACGUGGUAUCCUGUCUGAAUAUGGGGGGACCAUCCUCCAAGGCUAAAUACUCCUGACUGACCGAUAGUGAACCAGUACCGUGAGGGAAAGGCGAAAAGAACCCCGGCGAGGGGAGUGAAAAAGAACCUGAAACCGUGUACGUACAAGCAGUGGGAGCCUCUUAAUGGGGUGACUGCGUACCUUUUGUAUAAUGGGUCAGCGACUUAUAUUCUGUAGCAAGGUUAACCGAAUAGGGGAGCCGAAGGGAAACCGAGUCUUAACUGGGCGCUAAGUUGCAGGGUAUAGACCCGAAACCCGGUGAUCUAGCCAUGGGCAGGUUGAAGGUUGGGUAACACUAACUGGAGGACCGAACCGACUAAUGUUGAAAAAUUAGCGGAUGACUUGUGGCUGGGGGUGAAAGGCCAAUCAAACCGGGAGAUAGCUGGUUCUCCCCGAAAGCUAUUUAGGUAGCGCCUCGUGAAUUCAUCUCCGGGGGUAGAGCACUGUUUCGGCAAGGGGGUCAUCCCGACUUACCAACCCGAUGCAAACUGCGAAUACCGGAGAAUGUUAUCACGGGAGACACACGGCGGGUGCUAACGUCCGUCGUGAAGAGGGAAACAACCCAGACCGCCAGCUAAGGUCCCAAAGUCAUGGUUAAGUGGGAAACGAUGUGGGAAGGCCCAGACAGCCAGGAUGUUGGCUUAGAAGCAGCCAUCAUUUAAAGAAAGCGUAAUAGCUCACUGGUCGAGUCGGCCUGCGCGGAAGAUGUAACGGGGCUAAACCAUGCACCGAAGCUGCGGCAGCGACACUAUGUGUUGUUGGGUAGGGGAGCGUUCUGUAAGCCUGUGAAGGUGGCCUGUGAGGGUUGCUGGAGGUAUCAGAAGUGCGAAUGCUGACAUAAGUAACGAUAAAGCGGGUGAAAAGCCCGCUCGCCGGAAGACCAAGGGUUCCUGUCCAACGUUAAUCGGGGCAGGGUGAGUCGACCCCUAAGGCGAGGCCGAAAGGCGUAGUCGAUGGGAAACAGGUUAAUAUUCCUGUACUUGGUGUUACUGCGAAGGGGGGACGGAGAAGGCUAUGUUGGCCGGGCGACGGUUGUCCCGGUUUAAGCGUGUAGGCUGGUUUUCCAGGCAAAUCCGGAAAACCAAGGCUGAGGCGUGAUGACGAGGCACUACGGUGCUGAAGCGACAAAUGCCCUGCUUCCAGGAAAAGCCUCUAAGCAUCAGGUAACAUCAAAUCGUACCCCAAACCGACACAGGUGGUCAGGUAGAGAAUACCAAGGCGCUUGAGAGAACUCGGGUGAAGGAACUAGGCAAAAUGGUGCCGUAACUUCGGGAGAAGGCACGCUGAUAUGUAGGUGAAGCGACUUGCUCGUGGAGCUGAAAUCAGUCGAAGAUACCAGCUGGCUGCAACUGUUUAUUAAAAACACAGCACUGUGCAAACACGAAAGUGGACGUAUACGGUGUGACGCCUGCCCGGUGCCGGAAGGUUAAUUGAUGGGGUUAGCGGUAACGCGAAGCUCUUGAUCGAAGCCCCGGUAAACGGCGGCCGUAACUAUAACGGUCCUAAGGUAGCGAAAUUCCUUGUCGGGUAAGUUCCGACCUGCACGAAUGGCGUAAUGAUGGCCAGGCUGUCUCCACCCGAGACUCAGUGAAAUUGAACUCGCUGUGAAGAUGCAGUGUACCCGCGGCAAGACGGAAAGACCCCGUGAACCUUUACUAUAGCUUGACACUGAACAUUGAGCCUUGAUGUGUAGGAUAGGUGGGAGGCUUUGAAGUGUGGACGCCAGUCUGCAUGGAGCCGACCUUGAAAUACCACCCUUUAAUGUUUGAUGUUCUAACGUUGGCCCCUAAUCGGGGUUGCGGACAGUGUCUGGUGGGUAGUUUGACUGGGGCGGUCUCCUCCUAAAGAGUAACGGAGGAGCACGAAGGUUGGCUAAUCCUGGUCGGACAUCAGGAGGUUAGUGCAAUGGCAUAAGCCAGCUUGACUGCGAGCGUGACGGCGCGAGCAGGUGCGAAAGCAGGUCAUAGUGAUCCGGUGGUUCUGAAUGGAAGGGCCAUCGCUCAACGGAUAAAAGGUACUCCGGGGAUAACAGGCUGAUACCGCCCAAGAGUUCAUAUCGACGGCGGUGUUUGGCACCUCGAUGUCGGCUCAUCACAUCCUGGGGCUGAAGUAGGUCCCAAGGGUAUGGCUGUUCGCCAUUUAAAGUGGUACGCGAGCUGGGUUUAGAACGUCGUGAGACAGUUCGGUCCCUAUCUGCCGUGGGCGCUGGAGAACUGAGGGGGGCUGCUCCUAGUACGAGAGGACCGGAGUGGACGCAUCACUGGUGUUCGGGUUGUCAUGCCAAUGGCACUGCCCGGUAGCUAAAUGCGGAAGAGAUAAGUGCUGAAAGCAUCUAAGCACGAAACUUGCCCCGAGAUGAGUUCUCCCUGAGACUUAGAGUCUCCUGAAGGAACGUUGAAGACGACGACGUUGAUAGGCCGGGUGUGUAAGCGCAGCGAUGCGUUGAGCUAACCGGUACUAAUGAACCGUGAGGCUUAACCUUACAACGCCGAAG